rnacentral:rRNA from 1 species
AUGCGGGACUCAUCAGAGGCCUCGCAAUUGGAAUGAGCGCACUUUAAAUCGUUCGACGAGGAUCUAUUGGAGGGCAAGUCUGGUGCCAGCAGCCGCGGUAAUUCCAGCUCCAAUAGCGUAUAUUAAAGUUGUUGCAGUUAAAAAGCUCGUAGUUGGAUCUGGGGUUCGGGUCGGCGGUUUUGCCGCUUCGGCGGCUACUGCCGUGCUCGACUCUUACUAGCCGGUGCGUCAUGCGGUGCUCUUCAUCGAGUGCCGUAGGAGCCUGGCAUGUUUACUUUGAAAAAAUUAGAGUGCUCAAAGCAGGCGAUUCCGCCUGAAUAGUGUUGCAUGGAAUAAUGGAAUAGGACCUCGGUUCUAUUUUGUUGGUUUUCGGAACUUGAGGUAAUGAUUAAGAGGGACGGUCGGGGGCAUUCGUAUUUCGGUGUUAGAGGUGAAAUUCUUGGAUCGCUGAAAGACAGACGAAUGCGAAAGCAUCUCCAAGAACGUCUCCAUUAAUCAAGAACGAAAGUCAGAGGUUCGAAGACGAUCAGACACCCUCCUAGUUCUGACCAUAAACGAUGCCAACUAGCGAUCCGCAGUGGUUGCUAUAAACGGACUCUGCGAGCAGCUUCCGGGAAACCAAAGUGUUUGGGUUCCGGGGGAAGUAUGGUUGCAAAGCUGAAACUUAAAGGAAUUGACGGAAGGGCACCACCGGGAGUGGAGCCUGCGGCUUAAUUUGACCCAACACGGGGAAACUCACCCGGUCCGGACACUGUAAGGAUUGACAGAUCGAGAGCUCUUUCUUGAUUCGGUGGAUGGUGGUGCAUGGCCGUUCUUAGUUGGUGGAGUGAUUUGUCUGGUUAAUUCCGAUAACGAACGAGACUCUAGCCUGCUAACUAGUUGCGCCGUGUUCAUACGCGGCUGUAGACUUCUUAGAGGGACAGGUGGCGUUUAGCCACACGAAAUUGAGCAAUAACAGGUCUGUGAUGCCCUUAGAUGUCCGGGGCCGCACGCGCGCUACACUGAAGGAGUCAGCGUGUGCUAUCCGGGCUCGGAAGAGUUCGGUAACCCGUUGAAACUCCUUCGUGCUUGGGAUUGUGGCUUGUAAUUAUCGCGCAUGAACGAGGAAUUCCCAGUAAGUGCAAGUCAUCAGCUUGCGCUGACUACGUCCCUGCCCUUUGUACACACCGCCCGUCGCUACUACCGAUUGAAUGGUUUAGCAAGGUACUCGGAUUGGUCUCGAUCUUGUACGAAAGUGCGGGAUCUGUGGCCGAGAAGAAGGCCAAACUUGAUCAUUUAGAGGAAGUAAA